rnacentral:lncRNA from 1 species
UCUCUCUGCUCACGUAGUCACACCUACAAAACCCUGUCCCUAGUCUCUCUGCUCACCUACAUUAACUACAAAACCCUGUCCCUAGUCUCUCUGCUCACCUACAUUAACUACAAAACCCUGUCCCUAGUCUCUCUGCUCACCUACAUUAACUACAAAACCCUGUCCCUAGUCACUCUGCUCACCUACAUUAACUACAAAACCCUGUCCCUAGUCUCUCUGCUCACCUACAUUAACUACAAAACCCUGUCCCUAGUCUCUCUGCUCACCUACAUUAACAACAAAACCCUGUCCCUAGUCUCUCUGCUCACCUACAUUAACUACAAAACCCUGUCCCUAGUCUCUCUGCUCACCUACAUUAACUACAAAACCCUGUCCCUAGUCUCUCUGCUCACCUACAUUAACUACAAAACCCUGUCCCUAGUCUCUCUGCUCACCUACAUUAACUACAAAACCCUGUCCCUAGUCUCUCUGCUCACCUACAUUAACGACAAAACCCUGUCCCUAGUCUCUCUGCUCACCUACAUUAACUACAAAACCCUGUCCCUAGUCUCUCUGCUCACCUACAUUAACUACAAAACCCUGUCCCUAGUCUCUCUGCUCACCUACAUUAACUACAAAACCCUGUCCCUAGUCUCUCUGCUCACCUACAUGAACUACAAAACCCUGUCCCUAGUCUCUCUGCUCACCUACAUUAACUACAAAACCCUGUCCCUAGUCUCUCUGCUCACCUACAUUAACGACAAAACCCUGUCCCUAGUCUCUCUGCUCACCUACAUUAACUACAAAACCCUGUCCCUAGUCUCUCUGCUCACGUAUUUUCACACCUACAAAACCCUGUCCCUAGUCUCUCUGCUCACGUAUAGUCACACCUACAUUAACUACAAAACCCUGUCCCUAGUCUCUCUGCUCACCUACAUUAACUACAAAACCCUGUCCCUAGGUCUCUCUCUUAGUUAUCUUAAACCCUGUCCCCAGGUCUCUCUCUUAGUUAUCUUAAACCCUGUCCCCAGGUUGUCAGAAGUAUAUUUCUUAUCAUUCAGCAUACACUGUCCUCAUCACUGUAAAUAUCAAUAG